UUAAUCAUUACACCUACCAGUUGAGUUUUAAAAACUUGAAUUAAUCAAAAAUAAUAAUGAAAAACUAAUGGCAGUAUUUCGACUACUGGAUAGUAGGUAUAAAGAUAAACAGUGAUAAUUGGAAACUCUAAUGGUGAUUAGUUACUUUCAGUUGAUUACAAUUAAUCGAUAUUUUACUAAUUGAUGUAAUUGUUACUCGUAGGUAAUCAAUUUAAUUGCCCAGCACUACUACAAACAAAUUUUAAAAUUCUACUAGCAACAGAGUACCACCUUAAUGGUUUGGAUGACUUAUCUUGCAUUUUUCCUUGGUCACUGAUGAAUGGGCUCCCAUCUGUGUAAACAUGUGACAACCUUGAACUUGCUAUGACUAAAGGUCAUUUGUCAAUUAUUUGUCUAACUUACUGAUUGGUCACAAUCAUUCUAUAAUACAUCAGUAUUCUCAAAUAACUAGAAAUAUCCAAGAGUAUAAUAUUAGCAAACUGUACUGGUUUCACCCCAGUGGUACAGUGGCAAAUCUGUGGACUUAUAAUGCUAAAAACUGUGUUUCGAUACCCAUGGUGGUCACAACACAGAGAGCCCUUUAUGUUGCUAUGUGCUUAAUAACAAACAAACAAAAUUAUGUACUAAUUAUGCCAAUGUCAGUAUAAUGGAAAUAAGAACAAGCGAAGUCCCAAGCACUGAUCCACCAGUGACAAGUGUCCAGUUUGACUGGAUUCCAAGAAUUGCCGUGUUUAUAUACAUGUGAUAGCAGGUUGAACAUGGUAUGGGGUCUAGGUGUGUCAAGGAUGAGCCAGGCUUUAUACAUAAUAUGUGAAAUACUGUAGCCAAUGUGGUAAACAUGAGUGAAGUAUGCAAAAUGGAGUUUUUUGCUUCUUGUUCAGUUAUUAGUGAUCUUUGUUAUGCAAUCAAGUUUGUUAGUAUGUUUUAUCUUUGCUGUUCAGCACACUGUGAUAUGAUCUGUCUUCAGUUAAUAUACAUGUAUGACGUUAAGUAAAUAAACAGUUUCCAACAAAUUAGAUCAAAUUGUUGUAUCUUUUCUUCCUCCGUGAGAUUCUGUCACUUGUUAGUUACUUUGCAGAGACAUUUUUUUAUUCGACAGAGCUAUGUUUCAAUUAAAAGAAAUGUGUUAUAUUUAUUAUUUUGCCAAGGACGAUUGUUUUUUAAAAUCUUAGUUUUUGAUAUCCCCAUAAUGCUAAAAUUUAUUAACCCUUUAGGCAUGUACCUUUUUUUUUUCAGUCAUAUCACACUCAGAAUCAUUGGAAGAUAAUUCAUUUUCAGAGCCAGAAUCAUCGUUGGCUUGCACAAGUUCAAUUAUCUCUUGAAAACACUGUAACGAUUUGAUGGCAUUUAGGGUCCAUUUCUCAUAAAAUUAAAUAGUUUUGGACUACGUGUGCUAUGUUGAUGAUGAGGAACACACUUUUUAGAAAAUAAAGUUUGGAGAUGUCUUGAAUGAGUAGUGAAAAAACUGUACAAAUGUACAUCAUUUUGACAAGUUAUCUCCAAACUGUAUACAGAAUGUUGGAUACAAAAAUCAGCAGUUGAGAUUGUCAUCUGUGCAGUUUAGGCUUUGUAUGUUGAUUUUUUAUGCUCGAUUUGCAUUUCUAACAGGAAACUCAAACCACAUUAUGUGGUCACCACACAGGGACGGGCAUGCCUAAUGGAUAACCACCAGUAAAAGUUUGUUUUACAGCCGUUUAGGUGGUAACCCUAUCAGCACUUACCAAAGUUAAAGUUGAUCUACAUGCGUCAUUUGGUAGAUUUUGUAUACUAACGGUAUAUCUAUCCACAUAAUGAUUAAACUUAACUCUUUACUAUUACCAGUAAUAUCUUUGUAUGAAAUUAACACUUGUAUCUGGUCCGGUUUGACAACGUGGAAGACACAGGACAACUUUGUGUGCACACUGAAUUUCACAACAGUGUGUGUGUCCAUCGAUUUCCUGAAUGGAGCAUCUGAACAACAGAAGUGACUUGAAAUGCUUGAUAUAUCAUGUUUCAUAGGUGUAUGAAUCCAUUUCAGAUAACAAUUGGAUUAUUGUGUUUCUUAUACUGUGCAUGUAAGAUAAAUAAGAUAUACUGAUUAUUAUUUUAAAGGUGGAAGAAAUGUUUUUUUUUGUAUCUUGUACAUUUUAUUGACCAUCGAUCCUGUUUUUGGUAUUAGUGAAGGAGAAAGCUCUGUAUUUGCUAUAAGUUAAAAUAUAAUUCACAAUAUUGAAACAGAUGUAGUUAAAUGAUUUUGUUAUUUCUGAAAAUUCAGAGCUCAGUUUGUGCACAAUUGUGUCCACAGUGAAUUAUUAAUACCACAAAUCUCCCUUCAUGAGUUAUUGCAGCUGCAAUUAAUCUUGGAGAGAGCAAAAGGUUUUUUGUUUGCAUCUGUUUCAAAAUUGUUAGUACCCAAAAAUUAUGUAUUUUGUUUUUGUACUGUGUUGUUGAACUUUGACAUGAUUACUUGAAAUAUUUAACGUUACAUAUUUGGAUCAGAAUAUUCAGAGUAUUUACCAUGUUGUUUUUAGUUUUGCUAAAGUAGGUAGCUUGCUUUGAUCAAAAGUUAAUAUCAAUGUGUGUAAUGUAUUGUUGUGUGACCCAUCAUUGUAGAUAUUGAUAUAUUGAGUUUACUAAAGAUUUGUUUUACAAAACCAUCUGUAUUUGGGAUCUUGUACUGACAGUUCUAAACGUUGCUGUAUAUCUAGUUUCUGUGUACCGAAGAGGAACCAUCCGAGAAAGAGUGCCUUGUCAAAUAUGUAACAAGUCGUUUGAAAGGAAACAAGAUUUUGAUGCCCACAUGAAUCUACAUGUGCACACAUCUUACAGGAAGAAAUACUACUGCAGUGUGUGCAAUAAGGCAUUCUUAUGGAAGAACAACAUGUAUGCGCACAGAAAGAAUGCACACAAGUUAUCUACAAAAUCUGUUUUUGGAUGAAAUUUGGGUUUGUUUGGACUUGACUAAUUAAGAACACCAAAGUAUUUAGACUUCCACAAUAAUGUCUUUAUUGUUGUUAGAAUUAUGUUUGGUUAAAACAAUUGUGUUUGUAUAAGCUGUCAAUUUCAAGUAACAAGAAUUUUUAAAAUAAGACUUUAGAGAAUAAUUAUGUGGAAAACUUGGAGUGUUUUUAAUGCAUGAGUAAAUAACUGUUGAUGCAUCAUAAGUGCCACGGGGUCACUUCGUAUAACAUCGACAAACAAAUAUGACCUUAGAUAAUAAUAUUUGGUACAUUAUUUACCAUUGUAUAUCAUAUGCAGUAAUGUACCAAAAUAUUUCUCUGGUUGCAGUUACUGAAAGUUUCAUAUGGAAAUUUUUUGUGUUCGUAAAUCUUAACAUUGAUGUAUUUUUUAUGCGAUGUCAGUCAGUCAACAAUCAGUAUUAUCCUUUGACAAACUAGAAAUGGAAAAGUAAAAUCACUAAAUUCUAUUAGAAACAGUCUUCUAAUUUUAGUGUGGCAAUUUUGUUUAUAUAGUGUAGUCUUUUUUUUUCGUUAUCAAUGUAUUGUUAUUUUUCUAAUAACCUACUGUAUAGAAAUAGUUUGAAAGGCAUGUUGGUAAAAAUGUACUUAACUAGAUAAUUCAGUUAAUCUCUAGAAAAGGCUUCUGUUUUCUUUGAACCGUAUUCUGAAGACAGUAAGAACUGAAGGCUGUAAGUCUGAAGAUUUGGAAAAAGACAGGCUAUGCUCUAGUUAAGUUUCUUCUUGCUUCCUAGCAAGGUGGAAUGAGUUCUCAUCGGUAAUGGAGGAUGAAACCUUACAAGAGCUAAAAAUGGAAAUCGGAAAAAAUGGAUUUAAUUUUUAUUAUGCAAGACAAGCCAUGUUGAGUUCAGGCAUCAAUUUCACAUAUUGCUGUUAGAACUACAAGGUUAACUUUCUAUGAAUUACUUUUUUUUAGAGUUUGAAAUAUUUUUCUAGUAAUGAUUUUGUAUGAAAUUUGGCUCAUAAUCUUCCUCUCUAGGGAUCAAUACAAGGUAGCUUUGAUACUGCUAAUUUAUGUGUUUUAUUAUCUCAUUUAAUUAGUUAAUAUUUCAGCAAAUAAUUAACAGAGGAGUGUGGUAAUCGGUGGUGGAAAUGGAAUGAAAUCAUUGAGGAAGGAAAGAAGGGUUCAUGGGGAGAAACAUAAUAUUGAAAGAAAAUUUUUAUAUGUGUUAAGUUUUAAAACUGUUAGCAGCCAGAGGUGUUGCAGUAGUUCUUGUAAUAGACUGAAUCUUGAGGAUCCAUGGUUCAUGUUCUGUUGCUCUCUGCAGCUGUGGAUGAAUUCCAAGUGAUAGUCAACUCUCGCUAUUCAGUUGGAGUAGCCCAAGAGUUGGUAGAAGGUGCUGUUGGCCAGCUGCUUAAAGUCUUUUCAGUUCAAAAUUAAGGAAGGAUAGAGCAGAUACCUCUUUUGCAGUUGUUCGAGAACAUUCAUGAACCCCCCCCCCCCCAAAGAAGUGCCCCCAGAGAGUUUGAGGCAGUGAGAUUAGAGUGGAGUGAAUCAUAACAUGCAAAGAUAACAAUAUAAACCCUGUUUUACAACAAGAGACCACAAGGCCUACUCUGCACACCAACUGCCAAGAAGAGUUUAAAAAACAGACAUUAAACUCACCCUUUAUUUUUUAGAAAAUCGUAAAUUCCCUCUUAACUUUUGUAAAGUGUGAGCUCUACACUGUUGCUACUGAUAAAUCGUAUUAUAAACUAAUCAACCUCAUAAAACAAUGGAAUUAACUAAACUGGAGUGUAACCUGUCUUUUUCAACACUUAAACUAGUGUUCUUCCUAAGUUUGGUGCUCUCAUUUCAACAAUUUCAGUGCCAGAAAGUAAAUACUUUGAAAAUCUAUUCUUAAUGUUUACUCCUGAAGCAGUGGUUCUUUACCUUCCAACUUAUUGCCAUAUCUUUUUUGUGACCUCAUUUGUUACUGAUUUUUCCCCAACUUUUAAUUUGUUAUUCUAACUUCAAAGCUGACAUCCUACACGUCAACUGGAAUUUAAAAUACAAUUAUAAAAAUUAAUCUUUUUGUCUAUUGACAUUAGCUUACUUAUAAAGAAAAAUACUUAAUAUAAAUCUGAAAGAUCUGUAUCACUAUACUCCUUUUUUUUUUUUAUGAAGGUUUUGCCAUUUAUUUAGCAAAAUAAUUAUCUAGAAUUGUUUUUAGAUAAGAGAAUAUUUCUGUUUGUUUGAAAAAUAAGCUCAUAAUCAUAUUCAACUUCUAACAGGGUAACCAAAAGAGAAAGAUAAUAAAAACACAGAAUUAAAGAAAGAUUGUCUUAACCGGGAUACCACAUCUAUCUACCCUAUCUUGAAAACAUACAUUGAUGUAUAGUUUAAUAAAUUAACUAGACCCGAACCUUUGUUUUGGUUUUCAAGUUAACAUACAUUGAUGUAUAGUUUAGUAAAUUAACCAGACACAAACCUUUGUUUUGGUUUUCAAGUUAACACUUGUGCUACUGCUUCCAAAUUAAUAGUGAAGUUUAAUUUAUUUAUUUUUUAAUAGGAAUGUGUAAGAAUAUUUUUACAGGUAUGUUUAACCUGUUAUUUGGAACAAAAAAACUUGAUUUUUUAGAGCACUUUAGUCCUCUUGUAUCUUUCACUAGCUAUGUUUUGAUGAAUGUAUGUUCCCUUUAAACAAACAGUAAGGUACACCAAUUGAAAGAGUUCUGUUUCUGUGCCAAAUAUGUUUCUAUUUGUGUAGUAGAACUGUUUUUCAUGAUAGAUAUUUGUUGUUGCAUUGAUUGUGUAUGUUGUAUGUAAUUAAUUUGAAAGGCAUUAAUACACAAAUUUCUGCCAUGACGAAAUAAAGAAAUACUGGUUCUUUGAUGUGUUAGCUUGUUUUCAUAGAAGCAUCUUAGUUUAAUUAAUAUGAAAAAAGGCAACUAUAACUAUUAUUUUCUUUAAAUAUAUAUAAGGCUGUGCAAGUUUUUGUAGUUUAACCCAUUCACUGCGACUGGGAAAUAUACGUCCCAGUCAAAGUAAAAGGGUUAACAAGCUACAAGAAUUGGUGUAUCCUUGCCAUGUGGUAGUUUUUCUGUUCCUACAUUAAAUUAUCAUAAUCUUAAAAGAUCUAAGUUUAUGUUAAGUCUACACAUUACUAUAGAGACAUAGUUUACUGUGUUAUGUUUCUGUGAAGUCUACACAUUACUAUGGAGACAUAGUUUACUGUGUUAAGUUUCUGGCAAGUCAACACAUUGCUAUGGAGACAUAGGCUAUUGAGAUUCACUAUGAUAUCUACACACUACCAUACAGACAUAGCUUAUUGGGCUUCAAUCUCAAGUCUAAACAUUACUAGAUCUUCAUCAUUGCCAAGUAAAUUAUUGGUGAAUUUGUUGUUUGGUAAUCUUUUUUUUUUUACUGAUUGGUACAUUAUCUCAUUUCAACCCAUACUUUAUGAAACUUAUGGCAGUUAUUUUUGUAUAAUUUUAGUUUGUUAUAAUUAUUCUGUACAUGCCAAUUCUCUACAGUUAGUCAGUUGGUUUAAGCUGAAUGUCCGUACAUGUUUAUAGAUUGUUCAUUCUCAAAGGUGAUAUGGAUACAGUCCCAAUUACCUCCACUCUAUUGUCAAAAGUGAUACAGAUUCAGUUCAGAUUACCUCUACUCUUACUUCAGUGUUCUGUGCCAUUAUCUAAAAAAAAAGGUGUGAUGAAAUAAGAAAAGCAAGUUAAUUCCCUCAAUACUACAAUAAAAAUCUACUUUUGGAACAUCCUGUAUGUCACUGGUUUUUUACUAAUAACUUCUCAUUAAAGGUUUUUAUUUUUCCUGCAUGUUUAACCAUAGACAGUUCAUUCAGUAUACAUGUAACAUGAUUAUUUUUCACCUGGAUUAGUCAUGAUAAUAUCAAUAAAUUAACAUUGAAAGCUUUUUAGUAAAGUGAAAAUGCUGUGUUUGCAAUAGAAGGAUAAAAUUAGUGACAAAAAAGCACUAUACUUUUAUACUGUAAGUCAUGUGAAGAAAACAAAUAUUGUGAAGAACAAUAAAGAAGGCACAUUGUUACUGUUAUUGAUACAAUUGGAUAAAGCCAAGUAUGACUGAAUAUUUCCCACUGACUUUGCAGGUGGCUGUUUUCCUUGUCCUCUUUGCCAGAAAGUAUUCACUUUUUCCACAAAUAUGAAGAGACACUGCCGCACCCAGCAUGGUGGAGCACCUUUCUACUACUGCAACAUUUGUCAGAAACCUUUCAACAGAUCUGGUUCUUAUAAAUCGCACCUACAGGCUGUGCAUGGGUUACUGAAGGGGAGUGGAAGGUUGAUGUCUUAAUUGUGACCUUUUUUUUUUUUCAAAAACAUUUGGUGUCUUUAUUCCAUACCAACGUCUUAAUCGAGACCUUUAGAUUAAAACUACAUGUGAACCCUGGUGGUAUAUAGUGGUUCUAAUUUUGUGUUGUGUGUGUUCAAUUUUGCUCAACAUUAUGUAUUAUGUGUUUUUAAGUGUGUUCCCUUAGAGAAAACUGGCAAGAAUUGUUGUUUUCACAGAACGUUCAUGUGAAUAUUUACACCUUAAAGACAUUACCAUAAGUUAUGUAAAUGUAAUAACUUGAAAUCUCGAUGACUGCCAUAUUUUAUGUAGUUCUAGUAACUGUAUGAGAUAUCAGAGUUGUAUCAUUGAUGUAAAUGUGAUAAGGAAAAAAAGGAUUGACAGGUAGUCAAGGCAGUUGCACAGUUUCAUCAAACACAGAUGUAUAUAUAUGUGAUUAAUAAAAUAAAUAUUUUAUGUUUUGAAUUUGAAAUACUGAUUCAGUGGCAUUGUUCUGACUUGUCUUUUUCUCAUGAAUGAUUCUAGUUAGCAGGUUUUAUAUACUCUUGGAAUUUAUUUUAUGCUUUUUUUAGUUGUUACCUUCAAUUGUAAUAUAAUAAAUCAAAUCUCUGGGAUUUGCAUCACAAACUUGUUAAUAAAUACAUAAAUGUUUAGAAAAAUGUACAGUGUAAAAAUAGUAAAUUAAUGAAACACACUGUGGUGUUUAGUGCCUGUAGGCAAGAAGAAGAAAGGCUCUGAAAAUUACUGCUCUUGGUGUUUGAAGACUUUCAAACAUAAAACUCAUCUCUCAAGACAUGUACUUUAUCAUUGCAAGUUUAAACCGGAAAGUCUGAGAAGAGAGAAAUUUGUUUGUAGCGGAUGCUACAAAGGUUACACAAGAUUGGAAACUUUGAGAAAUCACUGCUGUUUGUACAGGAUCAUUCAAGAGUAAAAUACUUCAAGUGAACUUUGAAGAUAAAACAUCUGGACAGAGCCACAGAUUGAGACAGAACUCUGUGAAGAUGGAAAACGGUGUCAUUUCUUUGGCCGAGCAUUUUUUAACUGAUACACGUGUUAACGACACAUGACAUGUCACAACGAAGUUAUGAUGGACCAACUGAAGAACGUACCCCAGUUUCAAGUAUACGCCUGUUAUCUGUGUCACAAAAGCUUCACUACAAAGGGAUCAAUGAAGAGACACAUGGUUCUACACUCAGGAUUCCGGAACAGUUACAGGUGCAGUAUGUGCCAUCGUUCUUUCAUGUGGCCUCAUGGGCUGAUGCGACACAAGAAGACGGCUCACAACAGUAAAUGAGGUUUUCCUACGAAUAGAGACGUAGGCAGAAAUCUAUAAAGAAGGUUGUUUUUCGUAGGAAAAAUGAAGUGAGUGACGAUGCCAUUGGGGUGAGGGGCAUGCCCCUUAGAAACUCUUUCUAAUUUUCACAGUAAUUGGUGCAUUUUGAUGGUAUCUGAUGUUAUUUUUACAAUUUUCAAAUGUUUUAUAUGUACAUAUGAGUAUAACUUAGGGAGUUGUAACUCAUCCCCCACCCCAGUUACGUGCAUGGGUAACAAAGAAAACGGUUUUGGGGGAUAACAAAACAACGAAAACGCUAAGUCAAUCGCGCCCUCUAAAAAUACUGUAUGGAACUUAUGUAAUAUUGACAGUUCUUUAGUUUUCAAAGCUUUGUUUUUCUUUUUAGUAUUUUUAGUUUGACCCCAAAACAAGGUUCGUGGUUUGCGACUCGUUGACAUGGGAACAUUGUAAUAGUGACAUUCUACUAUUUGGUCAGACGAGCGUCUUCCAGGAAUUGACAGUGGGUGCUUUUUUUAUAGCCCUUGUGUAGCUUUGCGCGAAACUUUAAAACAAAUUCUGGGCCAGAAGGCUGUGUACAUACUGGACAAAUGCCGACAGCAGAUUAUCCGAUUUAUAUUUAUUGUUUAAAUUUAAAAAAUAACAUUGUAGAUGCGGGUUUUUCGAGGUGACGUGAGCAACCACCAGAACCAUUCCUUUUUUUAGCCUCGCGGGUUCGAAUCUUGUCACUGAAUAUACUCGUGUUUUCAGUCGUAGUGGCAUUAUAACGUGACGGUAAAUCCGACUUUUUGUAGGCAAAGAGUAGCCAAGAGUUGGCGGUGGGUGUUGUUGAAUAACUACCUCCCCUCUAGUUUAUCACGUCAGAAUUAGGGACUACUAGCGCAGAUAACCCUCGAGUAGCUUUGCGCGAAAUUCACCAAACAAACUCACUGGGCCUCGUUGGUUUAUAAGAACAUUCGAAAACAAUUACAUUUGUGUCUGUACAAAUAUCGAGGAAUGUGUACAGCGUUUGUUUUAAGUUUUCUUUUCAUUGAAAUUUGAUUUGGAACGCAGUUGUUUUCUACCAACUAGGAAGAACUUUGACAUAAUUUCCAUAAAACAGCCUUAGAUGUUCGGUUACUAAAGAAAAGUUUCUCUAAUUGAAAAAUAAUUGAAAUAUUUUUCAUUUUGGAAUGACUCAUAAAAGAUAUAUUCCAAGUAAUAGCUGUAAUGGGGGUUCAUUAGUGUAUGUGUGUGCUUUUUCUUUAUAAAUUUUGUCUGCAUAGUAUAAUUUACAUAUGUCUUAGGCAUUAAGAGAUGAGGACCGAUUUUAUGUGUCAUUUUAAUGAACGAUGUUUGAAGUGAUUUUUUUGUUUGUUUUUUCACAUUACGUCCUUCUGUGCUAGUCAUAGAACAACACAAUCCCGAAAUGUUCUUUGUUUGCCAAAGUUUGAACGGGAAACUAUUAUUAUUAAGUUAUCAAAAAGUUGGAUUUUAAAAUGCGUGAAAGUUGAAAACUAAAGCACGUGACAUAAUUAUUUACAUAUUUUAUAUUAAAAGUUCCUGCAUAAGCUGUAGCAUGCAAUAAAAUAUAGAGAUAUCGUUAGCUAUAACUACUAAUCAGAAGACCAACUUAUAUGUGAACCUAAACAUUGCAAGAUACUGAAAGUCUUUGAUACUUUACAAGUCGUAGUUUUGUUUCUUAAAGAGGAGAGUUAUUCAACUAAGUUCCUAAAAUAUGUCAACUAUGUAUGAUUGUCAGUUCAUAAAAGUGAGUACAUAAGUAUACUAGGCUUGCCAACCCUCCCGGAUUCCAAAAAUAUAUAUAUUUAAAAAAGAAACGGAACAACUUUCAAAUUUUUGCUCCUUGCAAAUAAAAAAACUGUAGUUUCACUCGGCGAACGUGCAGCUCGCGUUACCAUAACUAUACUGCUCGCAAGCAUACUUCGUGUUGCAUUUUUAUUAUUUUUCCAUUUUCUUACUUAAUCUAAUCUUAUGUAACUAAAUUAGAUUCUCAUUUUUACUUUUCCGUUAUAUUUAUAAUACACAGGAAAAACAAGAAAUAUAGUGCUUACCUGGGUCCCAACCCCCUUUUUUGCUGUCGAUUGUUGAUGAAACUUAAGCUUAUGGUAGUACUACGCUACUAAAUAUUCUUUAUCUAAUUAAAUAAUGCUCAUAAAAACACAGAAUUAUAACACGCACAAAGCAAAUAAUUUCCUAUAACUCAGAUAAAAACUUUUAUAAAUGCGGUUUAGCUUGUGAAUAUGCGAUUCCUGUGAGAAAAAUAUUCGAACUGAAGGUGAAAUAUACAAUUCUGUGCCCAGAAAACAACGUAAUAUGUUAUUUGAUAGAUUAAAACUUUGGCUUCCUAUUGAUUAUAAAUAAUGUAGUAUGAAAUGUCAAAGAAAACUACAUGUACUGACAAUUUGUGAAAGCUUAUAUGACAGGUGGCAUUUAGCUUUCGGAAAUGUACUUCAGAAAGUUGGUUAUCCUAAAAUAUACUUAUGUACAUGCUUGUUUUGGUAUAUAAAAAUAUAGUAUCUGAAGUUUACGGUUGCUAAAAGUUAAAUUAAAUCCAUAUCAAAUUAUUAGUGUAAGGUACAAAGUUUUCCUCCUUUUUUUUCAUUUGAUAUAACCUAAGCCUAACAGUUUUGAAAAUGAAGUAAAUACUGCAUAUUUUUUUCUUCGAUUUAUUAUAUAUGCGUGUGUAUGUAUAUAUAAAUAAAUAAAUUCUAAUUUCCCAUUGGAUCAGUAAUUAUCAAAUGUAUAUGGUACGGUAGUAGAACGUAUAUUACUAUAUUAUAAAUUGCUUUUGUCAUGUUAAAAUGACUGAAUACAUGUAUUUAGUUGAUUAUGUAGAUGUCACUAAAAGACAAUUUUUAAAAUUAGCCUAACUAGUGACUGUCUUAUUGGAAAAUUUCUUCAAAAAAUUUAAACAGAUGCCUGUAAUUAGUUUUUUUCUAACAAGUCUUGGGAUUACGAUUUUAGAUGUCAGAGUGAAGUUUGGCGUAGUUUUAUGAGUGAAUAAAUUUUUUUGUUAUUAUUUUUGUAUUCAGUAUUGUAUGUUAAAGAAAUCAGGCCUUUAACGUCACUUUGUAUUUAUCGGAAGUUUCAUUCUUCAAAAGAGAAAAUGUAAGCCUAUCAAGUUGACUAACGAUAAUUACGGAGUUAACCGAAGACGUGUUAUACUUAUAUCAAGAAUUAUCGCACACAAACAUGUCAUAGAGGAAAGAAAGUAAUAAAAAUACAUUUCCCGCGCUUCUUAAUUUGUUUCGCUUCCUAUAAUUAUUGGGAUUUAGUCUUGCAGAGUUUCUGACAGCUGAGUGGUUAAUACUUAUCAUUACGUAAAACUACAUAAUUUUCUAAAUACUUUGUUCCAUUCUUCCUCAGGUUUACAU